rnacentral:rRNA from 1 species
AGUGAACGCUGGCGGUAGGCCUAACACAUGCAAGUCGAACGGCAGCACAGUAAGAGCUUGCUCUUACGGGUGGCGAGUGGCGGACGGGUGAGGAAUACAUCGGAAUCUACUUUUUCGUGGGGGAUAACGUAGGGAAACUUACGCUAAUACCGCAUACGACCUACGGGUGAAAGCAGGGGAUCUUCGGACCUUGCGCGAUUGAAUGAGCCGAUGUCGGAUUAGCUGGUUGGCGGGGUAAAGGCCCACCAAGGCGACGAUCCGUAGCUGGUGUGAGAGGAUGAUCAGCCACACUGGAACUGAGACACGGUCCAGAGUCCUACGGGAGGCAGCAGUGGGGAAUAUUGGACAAUGGGCGCAAGCCUGAUCCAGCCAUACCGCGUGGGUGAAGAAGGCCUUCGGGUUGUAAAGCCCUUUUGUUGGGAAAGAAAAGCAGCAGGUUAAUACCCCGCUGUUCUGACGGUACCCAAAGAAUAAGCACCGGCUAACUUCGUG